CUGCGGCCUAUCAGCUUGUUGGUGGGGUAAUGGCCCACCAAGGCGAUUACAGGUACGGGCUCUGAGAGGAGAAGCCCGGAGAUGGGUACUGAGACAAGGACCCAGGCCCUAUGGGGCGCAGCAGGCGAGAAAACUUUGCAAUGUGCGAAAGCACGACAAGGUUAAUCCGAGUGAUUUCUGCUAAAGGAAUCUUUUGUUAGUUCUAAAAAUACUAGUGAAUAAGGGGUGGGCAAGUUCUGGUGUCAGCCGCCGCGGUAAAACCAGCACCUCAAGUGGUCAGGAGGAUUAUUGGGCCUAAAGCAUCCGUAGCCUGUUCUAUAAGUUUGCGGUUAAAUCCAUACGCUCAACGUAUGGGCUGCCGUAAAUACUGUAGAACUAGGGAGUGGGAGAGGUAGACGGUACUCGAUAGGAAGGGGUAAAAUCCUUUGAUCUAUUGAUGACCACCUGUGGCGAAGGCGGUCUACCAGAACACGU
rnacentral:rRNA from 2 species